UACGAAGGGGGCUAGCGUUGUUCGGAUUCACUGGGCGUAAAGCGCGCGUAGGCGGGUUUUUAAGUCAGGGGUGAAAUCCCAAGGCUCAACCUUGGAACUGCCUUUGAUACUGGAAAUCUUGAGUCCGGGAGAGGUGAGUGGAACUGCGAGUGUAGAGGUGAAAUUCGUAGAUAUUCGCAAGAACACCAGUGGCGAAGGCGGCUCACUGGCCCGGUACUGACGCUGAGGUGCGAAAGCGUGGGGAGCAAACAGG
rnacentral:rRNA from 1 species